rnacentral:rRNA from 1 species
UCUGAAUCUGCGUACGGCUCCGCAAACCAGUUGUAAACUAUAGCAAGCAAUCCUGCGGGCGGCUUCGGCUGCUCGUGGGUAACAUGGAUAACCCUGGUAAUUCUGAGGCUAAUACAAGAACGUACUCCCUGGCUGACCGGCAACGGAAGGCUGGGGAGCGUGCAACGUAUCGUAGGGAUAAACCGGGAAUGGGUGCACGCUUGGACCGCGCUAAAGACAGAUCUCGGCGAGCCUUCGGGUGAGCCUUGGCCUGAGCGGCUCUUGCUGUGUGCUUCUGACCUAUCAACUAGACGGCAGCGUAAGGGACAUGCUAUGG